rnacentral:rRNA from 1 species
CCUACGGGAGGCUGCAGUGAGGAAUAUUGGUCAAUGGGCGAGAGCCUGAACCAGCCAAGUCGCGUGAGGGAGUACUGCCCUAUGGGUUGUAAACCUCUUUUGUCGGGGAGCAAAAGCCGGACGUGUCCGGCUGUGAGAGUACCCGAAGAAAAAGCAUCGGCUAACUCCGUGCCAGCAGCCGCGGUAAUACGGAGGAUGCGAGCGUUAACCGGAUUUAUUGGGGUUAAAGGGUGCGCAGGCGGAUUUUUAAGUCAGCGGUCAAAUCGUGGGGCUCAACCCCAUCCAGCCGUUGAAACUGGGGAUCUAGAGUGUGCGUGAGGUAUGCGGAAUGCGUGGUGUAGCGGUGAAAUGCAUAGAUAUCACGCAGAACCCCGAUUGCGAAGGCAGCAUACCGGUGCACAACUGACGCUCAGGCACGAAAGCGUGGGUAUCGAACAGGAUUAGAUACCCGUGUAGUC